GACGAACGCUGGCGGCGUGCCUAAUACAUGCAAGUCGGGCGGACGAUUGAAAGCUUGCUUUUGAUCGUCAGCGGCGAACGGGUGAGUAACACGUGGGCAACCUGCCUGUAAGACCGGGAU
rnacentral:rRNA from 1 species